AGGCGGGGUGCUAAUACAUGCAAGUCGAGCGGACAGAAGGGAGCUUGCUCCCGGAUGUUAGCGGCGGACGGGUGAGUAACACGUGGGUAACCUGCCUGUAAGACUGGGAUAACUCCGGGAAACCGGAGCUAAUACCGGAUAGUUCCUUGAACCGCAUGGUUCAAGGAUGAAAGACGGUUUCGGCUGUCACUUACAGAUGGACCCGCGGCGCAUUAGCUAGUUGGUGAGGUAACGGCUCACCAAGGCGACGAUGCGUAGCCGACCUGAGAGGGUGAUCGGCCACACUGGGACUGAGACACGGCCCAGACUCCUACGGGAGGCAGCAGUAGGGAAUCUUCCGCAAUGGACGAAAGUCUGACGGAGCAACGCCGCGUGAGUGAUGAAGGUUUUCGGAUCGUAAAGCUCUGUUGUUAGGGAAGAACAAGUGCAAGAGUAACUGCUUGCACCUUGACGGUACCUAACCAGAAAGCCACGGCUAACUACGUGCCAGCAGCCGCGGUAAUACGUAGGUGGCAAGCGUUGUCCGGAAUUAUUGGGCGUAAAGGGCUCGCAGGCGGUUUCUUAAGUCUGAUGUGAAAGCCCCCGGCUCAACCGGGGAGGGUCAUUGGAAACUGGGAAACUUGAGUGCAGAAGAGGAGAGUGGAAUUCCACGUGUAGCGGUGAAAUGCGUAGAGAUGUGGAGGAACACCAGUGGCGAAGGCGACUCUCUGGUCUGUAACUGACGCUGAGGAGCGUAAUGCUGCGCACGCC
rnacentral:rRNA from 1 species